rnacentral:tRNA from 1 species
GGUCACUUAGUUCAGCGGUAGAAUGUUCCCUUGACAUGGGAAAGGUCGCAGGUUCGAUCCCUGCAGUGACCACCA